rnacentral:rRNA from 1 species
AUUGAACGCUGGCGGCAUGCCUUACACAUGCAAGUCGAACGGCAGCACGGGUGCUUGCACCUGGUGGCGAGUGGCGAACGGGUGAGUAAUACAUCGGCACAUGUCCUGUAGUGGGGGAUAGCCCGGCGAAAGCCGGAUUAAUACCGCAUACGAUCUACGGUUGAAAGCGGAGGCCCUUCGGGCCUCGCGCUAUAGGGUUGGCCGAUGGCUGAUUAGCUAGUUGGUGGGGUAAAGGCCUACCAAGGCGACGAUCAGUAGCUGGUCUGAGAGGACGACCAGCCACACUGGGACUGAGACACGGCCCAGACUCCUACGGGAGGCAGCAGUGGGGAAUUUUGGACAAUGGGCGAAAGCCUGAUCCAGCAAUGCCGCGUGUGUGAAGAAGGCCUUCGGGUUGUAAAGCACUUUUGUCCGGAAAGAAAUCCUUGGCCCUAAUACGGUCGGGGGAUGACGGUACCGGAAGAAUAAGCACCGGCUAACUACGUG